GCAGGGUGUGGUGGCGUGCACCUGUAGUCCCAGCUACUUGGGAGGCUGAGGCAGAAGAAUCGCUUGAACCUGGGAGGUGGAGGUUGCAGUGAGCCGAGGUCGCACCACUGCACUCCAGCCUGGGUGACAGAGUGAGAUUCUGUCUCAA
rnacentral:SRP_RNA from 1 species